GAUUCGCCAGGAAAUGAACUUUUUAAUAAUCCGAGGAGGGAGGAAAGCCCUCGGUCCCCUCGGCUCCGGGGGCGCCCGACUGGGCCCAGCUCCGCGGGCGCGCCCCCGUCACCCCCUCCCCGGCCAGCUCAGGGCAGCGCCGAGUGGGCGCGGGCCCAGGCCCGGGCUUCCUCCUGCUUCUGCGUCUGGCGUCCGUUUGUCUGUCCGAGGCCCAAGCGCAGGUAAACCGCGGGGCUUGGGGGGCGCAGAGCUCCACUGGACUGAGAACCAGCGCGUCUAGUGCCCUGGGGGACCUGCCUGCUGAGCCUCCCGCUCCCCUCCACUUUGGGGCGCGCGGAGCCGGGUCUGCUCGGAAUUCCAUUCCGCGGGAACCGAGGCCUGCGCCAGCCGGGAAAGGCGGGCGGGGCUGGAGGCAGAGCGCGAGGUCCCCGGCGCCGGGCCUCCGCGGCCAGGCCGGGCAGCUUACUAUUCUUCAUCAACGCGUAAAAUGAGAUCGCCGCGGAGCUCGAGCCUAUUUGGCGUCUCCGGAGCCUAGCAGGACCCUCUGAAAGACACCGCGGCACCGGGAAUAAUCCCCCGCGUCCAGCAAAGCUGCCCGGCUUGAACGCGAACCCUGGGACCCAGCGCGGGAGGCAGACCCGCAGCUGUCCGCUGGGCUGUGAACUCCAGGGCCGAGCGGAAGCUUCCCGCCCCGCCGCGAUCUGCGCCGCGGCUCGCAGGGAAGUGGCUGCACACCGCCCUCGGGAAAGCAGAUUAUCGGAGCCCUUUCAGAGAGCGCACAACAAAUGCGCCCGCCAUCGAAUGCAUCAUUUACCACCGCAGAUCCGCGCGCUGAUGGGCAGGCAGAUAGCCGUCCGCUGGGGGCACGCGGGCGCCCCGUGCCCGCACCACCCGCCUGCCUUCCAGGGCCACGGAGUGUGUGCCCCUGUGUGCCCGGCGUGUUUGGGUGGACACGUGGGUGUGCCAGUGCAUGCGAGUGUGCAGGUGUGUGAAGCAAGUGUGCCACAAAAAAGUGCACAUGUGCGAGUCCAUUCAUGCACAUGCAUGGAGGUCGUGUGUGUGCUGAGUGCCCAAAGGUAACCGAUGAGGCGGUUGCAGGGUGCACAGGAGGCGGUGUUGCACUGAGCAUGUGAGCCCAGGGUGGCUGGACACGUGGCGGAGGAAUGGGAGUGCAAGCCCGCGUGUCCGAGUGCAGAGGAUGAGCGUCCUGCGAGUGCCUCACUGUGUCUGCCCUGGAGGUGGCUGUUUAGGGGGGCACGCCAGAGGCCACUAGGGUUGAUGUGUGGUGUGCAUGCAGGUGCCCACCCUGCGUUGUGUUUCAGGGCACACAAGCUUCCUGUGCCUCCUGGGGGAAAGCGUGCAGGUGUCAGUGCUCCCUCUGGGCGUGAACUUGUGGUGUGCUCGGGUCUGCGUGAGGCUGCGUGUCCUGCUGUAUCUCUGCCCAGGUGUGCCCAGGUGAGCUGCAUGAGGGUCACGGGGGAACGGCAGUAGUUGGGGCCUGUCCGUAUGCCAGCGUGAGUAGACUCUGGGCUGGGGAGGCGACAGGGAAUGGUGUGAGCGAGUGUGACAGACGCCAGAGUGGCGAGGUGGAACGUGCUGUGUCACAGGAGACAGGAGACUUUUGGGGCGAAAACGGAGUGUGCGAGUGUAGGAGGAGGGGCCGUCCGCGGAAUUUGGGGACACCCGGGGCUCCGAGCCCCAGAGCCUCCCCGCCGGAGCUCUGCAGCUGGGACAAGGAAGCCCGAACCCGCCGCCUGAGGUCCCCGCGCCGUGAGUGACACGCGCCGCCGACAAAGGCUGUAUUUUUCCAGGCUUGCGCCCCGCCCGCGCGCGCGCGAUGGUCCCCAUGGCGACGCAGAUAGCGCCGCAGCCAUUUUCCCUAUCUCCCCGGAGUCUAUUAUACUGCGGGAUUAGCUCAUCUCCAGGCAGGUCAAACCCAAAGUCACACAACCUGCGACGCGAGCCCCACCCCCGCCCCCCGGGCCGCCCCUCCCCCGCCCCGGCCCCGGCCCCGGCCCCGGCCCGGGUCUGGGCUCCCGCCCGGCGACCCCCGGCCGCUGUCCAAGCGCAGGCGCAGAGCGCCACCUGCCGGCCGCGGGUGUCUCGGGUGGAGUCCGAGGAGCCGGCUCCCGUGCAGAAGAGGUUGGGUGACGGUCUCUACCUUCAGAAGGCGGGCUUUCCGGGAGCAGGGGCUUUGCUUGUCACUGCUGUUCCCCAGGACAAGGCUGACACACAGUAGGUGCUCCAUAAGUGUUUGUUGAAAGGAUGGGUGGAUGGAUGGGCAGGAAACUAUAGACGGGGUGGGCGGGGGGGGGGCAAGCUGCAAAGGCUACAGUUAAGUUGGCAGCAAGAAAUCGUUUCUGAGAAUGUAUCCCACUGAAUUUAGAAUAAAAGCCAAAAAGCCAAACUCUUAGAACCUAUGUAGUGGCCCUUACUGACCUCUCAGACCUCAUUUCCUUCUUCUUCACUGCAUCCGCAGUGGCUGUCUUCCUGUUCCAGAGCGUUCCAUCUCAGGCCCUUUGAGGAUACUGUUCCCGCAACCCCGAGUGCAUUCCGCCUUUACUCAAGUGUCACCCUCCGAGAGCCAGGUCGCUCCCUUGUGCCCCGCUCUUCUCUGUGAAUUUCUUUUUUUCUUUUUCUUUUUAUUUUGAGACAGUCUUGCUCUGUUGCCAGGCGCCAGGCUGGAGUUCAGUGGCGCGAUCUCAGCUCACUGCAACCUCCGCCUCCCGGGUUCAAGCAAUUCUUCUGCCUCAGCCUCCCGAGUAGCUGGGAUGGGUACACGCCACCAAGCUCAGCUAAUUUUUGUAUUUUUUUUAGUAGAGAUGGGGUUUCACCAUGUUGGCCAGGAUGUUCUCUAUCUCUUGACCUUGUGAUCCACCUGCCUUGACCUCCCAAAGUGCUGGGAUUACAGACAUGAGCCACGGCACCAGGCCCUGUGCAUUUCUUUCGUAGUGCUUAACACAGUCUGAAAUCGCCUCGCCCCUGUGUGCGUGCUGUCUGGCUCUCCCUCUAGUGUGCCAGGCUUCUUGUGGGGGUGGAGGCUCUGUUUUGCUUGUGGCUACAGCUCAGCAACUGGAAUCAUAUCUGACAAUUGAUUGGCAUCAGUCGCAACUCUGGGAAUGAGGGAAUGAGGAUAGAGGGGCCUGGACGGCCUUCAUCAUUGUCAUUUCUCUCUAUCACUACGGGAGCUCCUUUUUCCCCUCCAUGACUUUUUGCAAGUCAUUCAGCAGCCAGCCACUCCAGCCCCACUGACCUGCCCCCAUCCCAGAGGGGCCUGGGAUGGAGGGAUAGAACCACUGAGGCCCCUCCACAUCCCUGCACCCGCCGUGCCCAUGAGGGCAGAGAACAUUUCUCACCUGGCUCUCAGGAGCUGUGGCCUCUCUAGGGAGGGCUGGCCUGCCAGCGAGACUUCACUCAUAAUACAAGAUAAUUAUACCGGAGUUGUCAUGAGGCGGUGAUGAUUAAUUGCUGUGCGUGGGGCAUGGAUCAACAGCAAGAUAUAGAGAGCAAAGAGAAGGCCACACUCCAACUGGGCUUCCAGGUGUGAGCUUGCCCUGCCCAUCUCUGCCCUAGAAGGAGCUCAGCAGGCAUCAGGCCAAGCUUCACCUGCCCAGGCAGGCUUGGGACAAACCCUGGGAGGGAGCCUUGGCCAGGAGCUCUGAGAAUUAGCUUCACUUCCCUCAGAAAUGGCCCAAUUCCUUCUUGGAAGAGGAGCUGUAUGACAGCUCAGGCCAGGGGGUCAGGACUCCCCCAUCUCCUCCUCGCACACCCACAUACAUACCCCUACCAGCUGGGUGGCUGGAUGAAAGUCAUUGUUCUGCUCUGAGCCUCAGGGUCUGCCUCUGCCCACCUCCCUCCAGGAUGACUGGGAGAAUUAUGUGUGAGCAUGCAUUUAAAAAGAGUUGUGUUUUGUAAACCCAGGCUUUGCAAAUUGGCAGCCCAAGUCUCAGGGGCCUGUGCAGUGACUGAUCAUCAUUGCUAGCAUUUCGAAGUAGAAAGAUGUCAUGUAAAGAGCGUCAUUUCCAGCUUCUCUUGAAAAGUUGUAAGAUGAGCCACCCUGGGACUGUAUUCCUGAAUGGCAACGUAAGGGCAGAGUCUUGCAGCAUCACCGCUUAUGAUAGUGUGCACCAGGGUUCCCACCCACUGGCUGCAGGCCCUCGGGUAGGGGAUGUGCCCCUCAUGGAAACACCAGUUACUGUGGCUGUGUUGGUUUUGGCUUUCCUUCUCUGUAGCCUUCCAAUAUCUUUCUCCCUCCGGGUACUGUAAACCACUUAGUCAUUAACUAGUUAAUAAAUUAGUCUUAUCAGCACUUUUAAAUAAUGUGCUAGGCCACACUGUGGUGGACCCCAGAUGGAUAGCAGCAAACCAAACAGCCAUGGGACCUUCCCUCAGGGAGCAAUCAUUCCAGUGGAGGAGUCAGAUAUGACUCACCACAUAGAUGGAAAAUUCUCCACAAAUGAUGAGACUGCUGAACAUAGAUGGGCUGCUGCAUCUAUAGAUGCAUCUAUAGAACAUAGAGUCCAGGCUUACUUGCAGAGAUCUACGCUGGGCCAGGCCCUGUGCUAGGCAGCAGAGGACAUGGAAUAAAAUUGAAUAUGGUCACUGUGUGCAGGUAACUCAUGGUGUGGUAGAGGAGCAGCCCGGUCAACAGGUUCUGUUAAUUCCAGCCUGUAAGAAAUGAAACCACAGGGUGAAUUUUGGAAGAGAGGCUCUUAAACUAAUCUGGAAGCAUAAUAUAUAAAAAGUACCUAUAAAUCAAUAAAAAAAAAUACAAUAGAAAAAAAUGAGCAAAGCAUAUGAACAGAAAAUUCAAUGAAAAGAAAAUAGAAAUGGCUCGUAAAUGAAUGAAAACAUACUCUCACUCAGAGAAAUGAAAAUUUAACACAUGUCAAGAUACUUGGGGUGAAGGAAGUGUUUUAAAAUUAGACUGUGGUGAUGGUUAUAACUCUGUACAUUUACUAAAACUUAUUGAAGUGUAUGCUUAAAACAAAUGAACUUUAUAGCAUGUCAGUUAUAUCACAAUAAGGCUGUUUUAAAAAUAAAAACACUUUGAGAUACCAUUUUAUACCUGUUGGUUUUAGCAAAUGUCAAAACACUGGAUAACGCAUCAUGUUCCUAAGGGCAUGGGGGAGAUGGCCUGGGGCAAGUGUCCACUGAUGCACUCUCAGGUUGGGAUGAGCAACAGGACGCUGUGAAACUUACAAAUAUAUUUACCCUUUGAGCUGGGAAUUCCACUCAUAGGACUUUAUCUGAUAGAUAUGCUUUACAUCUAUAAAAUUUAUCAGGAAAUUCACUGCAGCCUCAUAGAUUAUGGCAAAAGUUUGGAAACAAAAGAUGUUUGUCUGCAGAUGAAAUGCUAUACCACUGUUGAAAAAAAAAAAGAGAGAGAGAGAAAAGAAAGAGUGAGAAAAAGGAAAGAGUAGCUCGUUGCAUACCGAUACGGCAUAAUCCCAAGAUAGAAUUCUUGUGAAAAUAAACAUGCAGUACAUGAUGUGUUACCACUUCAUUAAGAACUGGGUAAGGAGAGAAAAUAUAUACAUUCACUUACAUAUUUACAGAAUUUCUCUGGAUGGAAAACAAAAGAAGUUGUUAACAAUGGUUGACAUCUACCUGUGUUUGGGACCUGGGUUUGGGUGGCUGGGGACAGGGAUGGGAGAAAGAUUUUCAUGGUACCUUUUGAUUCCUGUUGAAAUUACAUAGACAGGUGAUAGGUAGAGCUAGAGAGCUAUACACCUGCACACAUACAUGCCCACAUGUAUAUAUACCCUAUAUAGGAAAACGAGAUUAAAAUGCAAAAUGUGAACUUUUUGACUACAAAAUAAAGAUGGAAAAAAAGUUUUCCAAGAAGAAAAGUCGGGGGGAAAUUCUAGCCACUGACUCAAACAUAAAGAAACAAGAAUUCUCUUGCCUUAUUGCCAGGAAUGUAAAUAGUUCCAACUAUUUUGCAGAGUAAUUUAGCUGUUUCUGCCAAAGCUGAAGAUUGGAAUGCCACAUGGCCCAGCCAGUCCUCUUCCAGGGAUAUGAGAAGCCCUCACACAUGAGCAAGAAGGAGGUGUGUCCAAAGACAUUCAUGGAGCCCUAUUUGUUAAAAGAGAAAAAAAGAAAGAAAUUAAGAAAUACCCAGCCUGGACAACAUAGGAAGACCCUAUCGCUACUAAAAAUAAAAAGUUUAAAAACUAGCCGGGCAUGGUGAUGCACACCUGUGGUCCCAGCUACUUGGUAGGCUGAGGUGGGAGGAUCACUUGAGCUCAGAAUAUUGAAGCUGCAAUGAGCUGUGAUCGUGUCACUGUAUUCCAGCCUGGGAAUGACAGAGAGUGAGACCCUGUCUCAAAAGAAAGGAAGAGAAGAGAAGGAAAACAGAAACCAACUUUGGACUCAGCUGAUGGCCCAUCCUGAGCGUACCAGAUAACAGAUGCUGGGACCUUCUUCAGGUGAAUGCCACACAAUAUUUUCUUUGCAGACGUCCAUGCUGAUGUUCACAGGGCACACCGCGUUUCAGCUGAAGAAAGAACUGGCAGGAUUUUCAUCAAGAAAGAGCACUAUCGUUUAUGAAAAUGAAGCAUAUAAAGUAAAAGUUUGGAAACAGAAAUGAAUUAAAUCUUCGGACGGAUUUUAAAAUAAGAUUUAAAAAAGAGCAAGACGUGCCAUGUUCUUGGACAGGGAAACUUAAUACCAGAAAAAUGUCAAUUUUCCCAUUUUUCCCAUAGAAAUGUAAUGUAAUUCAAAUUACAUUACCAACAGGAUAAUUUUUUAAAAACUGGAUAAAAUGAUCUCAAAGAUUAUAUGGCAGAAUAAAUGCCCAAGAAUUCCAGGGAAGGCUGGAAAAAAACUGCUCUAGGGGUUUUGCUUUCCUGGAAACAAGAACAUACUACAAAGUCACUGUAAUCAGAUCAAUAUGGCAGUGGUAGAGGACUAGACAAUGGAAAGGAAUGGAGAAUACAAAAAUAGAUUUCAGGAUAUAUGAGAAGGAGAUAUAUGACAAAGGUAGUAUUUUGAUCUGGUGGGAGAAGGGCAGAUUGUGAAGUAAGUGGAGCCAGCUACAACUGAAUAUCCAUCUGGAAUAAAAUAAAAUUGUACUCCUCUUAGAGAUCCAAAUCAACUUCAGACAGAUUAAAGUUUUGAAUGUAAAAAAUAUAAAUGACUAACAGUCCUGCAAAAAAUCUUGGAGAUGACCUGUGCCAUCUGGAGAGUGGGAAAAACACGUGCAAAGGUCAGGGGGUGGAGUGGCCCAGCAUGUUCUGGAAAAUGUAGGGCCCCCGAGGCUGGGAUGACAGUGGAGACAUGGGUGUGUGAGAGCACAGGAGUGGGGCUCAUGGGCCAGGAACACCCAGAGAGGGGCUGGUGCUCUGCCACAGGCCCGCGCCCCAAAGCGCGGUCAUUCCCAGCACCAUCUUCACAGGUUUCUGCCCAAGUCUUUCUGCUGCAUCUCUUCCUCCCUGAUUCCUUAAUCAUUUUUUGAAAAUCAGUUCAUGUCUUUAUAAACCAAAUGAUUUCCAAAAGGCAAGUUUAUAUUACUGCCAAAAUCAAGGGCCAGUGAGCUAGUUAGGUAAUUUUCUGAAUCACAUGGAAAUAAAUGCAUGGACCAUUAAGAAGGAACCAGUGUCUGCCAUUAGCUACCUCGGUGUGCUGGCCUCAAUGUGCAUUUUUGGAAAUUGCCCUGCCACCUUGUGGGCAGGAGGGACUGGAUGGGUAGGGACUCGGAGUGAGCAUGAAGGUGACCAGAAGGUCCAUUCCCUAGAAGGUGGGGAGGUGGAAGCCAGGGUCCAGGCCUUGGGCCCUGCCCACCCCCUUCUCACAUACCGGCCUCUCGUCCGACGUUCCAGAACCUGACCACUUCCCGCCUCAACGAGCAGCAGGCCUGGUCCAAGCAGCCAGCCUGGUCCAAUCGGUUGGGGUCUCUCUCCUGGACUAUUGGAAUAGCCUCCUUGCUGGAAGUUCCCAGCUUCCCCACAGUCUGUUCAGAGCACAGUGGCCAGCAGGGGCCUGUGAAAAUAUAAGACAGGCCAGGCAUGGUGGCUCACACCUGUAGUUCCAGCACUUCAAGAGGCUGAGGCGGGUGGAUUGCUUGAGCCCAGGAGUUCCAGACCAGCCUAGGCAACACGGCUAAACCCCAUCUCUACAGAAGAUACAAAAGUUAGCCAGGCGUGGUGGCACACGCCUGUAAUCCCAGCUACUUGGGAGGCUGAGGCGGGAGGAUCACCUGAACCCAGAAGUCAUGGCUUCUGUGAGGUGUGAUUGCGUCAUUGCCCUCCAUCCUGGGCAACAGAGUGAGCUCCUGUCUCAAAAAAAACAAAAACAGAAACAAAAAAAGACGUAAGUCAAACCUGUCCUGUCUGCUCCACACCCUCCCGCAGCACCCGGGCCCCUCGCAGCCUCUUUGUCAUUCCCUUUGCUUGCUCCACUCCUGCUCCACUGGCUUCCUUCUUGUUUCUCAAACAGCUGGCACGUGUCCACCCCAGGACAUUUGCACUAGCUGUCCUUGUGCCCAGAUACCCAUGGGCUGAGACAUGGCUCCCUCACACUUUGGGCCUGGUUGCCUUCCUAGACUACCUUCUGAUGAGCUGGGUGUGACAACUGGGGCAUAGGUGGGUUCCGGAAGCCCUGCAACCUGGGGUCAGCAGGCAGGCCUGAGAGGCCGGUCUCCAGGCUUUGCAGCUCCUGGCAAGAGGCCCCAGAGCUCUUGCCCUUCUAGAGAUGGUGGCCCCACAUUCAAAGCCCAGAACGUGGGCCAUCUGGAGCCAAGGUCUGGGAUGUUAGAGGAGAGGAACUGGGGACUCCAUGUAAGGACCACAGGUCAGCCUGGGCCUGUCCAAACCACCUGCAUGGGACAUGGCAGGGGCCCAACACUGGGCGCCCAGCGGGUCACUGUAGCAGCAUCCAUGUGUCCAUAUUCAGGUCGCUGCACCCAGAUUUUCCCUCCAGGGACCACCCCUUCCCACUCUUAGUCCAAGGUGGUCCAUGUGAAGUGCCUACCCCUGGCUCAGCCAAUCAGAGUCAUUCUGGCUGAUUCAUUCUGGGCACAUGACUCAGGAGGAUCCAUGGAGAGUCCAGCCUGGAAAGUUGGCAAGAAUCCUCGACGACUGCCCUCCUGCUGGGGUCACAGGGCAGAUCGUGUGGCACUGGGAGCUGUGGGUAGCCAUCUUUACCUCUACUCUCAGGAGAGUAUGCCUGAGAGUGAGGCCAGCACAGAAGAGCAGAGCUGAGAGAGACUGGCUCUCAGUCCCACUGCCGAAAGCCAGCUAGAGCCCUGGCCUUUUCAGUGACAUGAGCCAAUGACAACUCCCAGUUCUCUCCCUCUGGUCAGUCUGAGGUGGGCUUUGUGCCUCUUACAACUGAAAGAGUCCUGGUAGUCACAGGCAUGGCUGAUUAAAGAUGGCCACCAGGUCUUUGUUACUCCCUCAUGCUAGGGGCCUUGAGUGUGGGUGUGCUCUGAGGUGACUCGACCAGGAGGGUACGGUAGCAGUGACACUGCAGUUUCUAGCCCAGGCCGGAAGAGAUGAUUAACGCCCACUCCUUGCUUCUUGAAAGCCUCUCCUUGGGAGUCCUGGGCUGCUAUGUUAAAAAUCCAACUGCCCUGAGGCCACCAUGAUGUGAGGAGGCUAGAGCCAGGUGGAGAGGCCACCGGUGGCGAAAGACCUGCCCUACCAGUUCCCACCAUCCCAGCCCCCAGCCAUCUGAGUCAUCCCCACUGAGGACACAGCUAUCACAGAGCAGAUACAAGCUAUUCCUGCAAGUCCCAUCCAGAUUCUUGACCCAUAGUUUGUGGGAUAUAAUAAUAAUGAACUAUUUGAGGCCA